CGUGUAAGCGGCCAGAUAGGUCAGCUGUGAAAACUCGAGGCUCAACCUCGAGAUGUCGGCUGAAACCAUCUGGCUAGAGUCCGGAAGAGGAGAAUGGAAUUCCCGGUGUAGCGGUGAAAUGCGCAGAUAUCGGGAAGAACACCCGUGGCGAAGGCGGUUCUCUGGGACGGUACUGACGCUGAGACGCGAAAGCGUGGGAGCGAACA
rnacentral:rRNA from 1 species